GUGCUCGCUUUGGUUGGCAGCACAUAUACUCAAAUUGGAAUGGUAUAGAGAAGAUUUAGCAUGGCCCCUGUGCAAGGAUGAUACACAAAUUCGUGAAGUGUUCUAUAUUAAA
ensembl:snRNA U6 U6 spliceosomal RNA